UCCCUGGUGGUCCAGUGGGUAGGACUCUGCACUCUUGAUGUGGGGGGCCUGGGUUCAAUCCCCUGUCAGGGAA